rnacentral:lncRNA from 1 species
AGAGGAAAGCUCACCAGUGGGGCCACAAGCUGAGUGCAUCAUGCCACUCUUUCUGCUGUCCCUUGGGAAGGUGUGAGACGAGGGUCACCAAGAGCAGCACUAACAGGACUCUCCCUGAGACAGGGGUGGUGAGUUCUCAGACAAAGAAAAAAAGGUUUUUUUUCCCCCAAAAAAAAGGUUUUUGAUGAACCAAAGCCUUGUUGGUGUACUAAAACUUGGAUGUUGGACAAUUGCUUCUAAAAAAUAUCUCAAAAUCCUCU